rfam:Cricetulus griseus cell line CHO-K1, whole genome shotgun sequence.
GGGGACAUAGCUCAAUGAUAGAGCAUCUGCCUAGUGUGCAUGACCCUUGAGUUCAAUUCCCAAUACCCUCA